rnacentral:lncRNA from 1 species
GCUUUCUCUCCAUCCAGCUGUAAACACUUCUCACAAUUUUCUAGAAUGGUGCAUUGAAUGUUUCAAGUUUAUUAAGUGAUCCCUCUGGUGAUAUCGCUAACGAUCGCUGGGAUGCUGGAAAGGCUCAAAACAAACCGGACGAGAAUUCUUGGCACUCAACUCCAUUGUUAUUGAGUUGCUUAUUGGUUAUCAUACUAGAUCAGGGAUCAUGUGCCGAUCCAAACUUCCGGCGAGCUGUAGGAGUUGUGAGCUUUUCCAACGGCUCUUUUUUCAAACUUUUGAGGUAACUGACUGACUGAUUGAUUUUAUGUUUUCUCAACAAUUAUUAAUUUGGACGUCUAACUGCUCUGUUUCCUACCUGAUAACUUGUUUCUUUCCUUCUUUUUCUUUGUUUGUUUUGUACAGUAAACAUCAAAAUUUGUGGUCCAUCCAUCCAUCAUCAUAUGCUUUGCUUUGCUUGCCCUCAAAUCAUGCUUCACCAUCAAGUUCUCUGCCUCUUUGUCUCGAACCUCCAUCAAACUACAACCAGAAGAUGAUACACUAAACAAAAAGUGAUAAAAGCUUCAAAUUUAUAGCCAAUAUAUAGUUACUUUCUUACAACACUACUUCAAUUGUCAAGCACCGACCAUUCACAAUCUUUCAUUUAUUUCAUUAAUUAUUUUACUCUUGUUUAGCAAUUUAUACCGUGUUGAUUACUGCUAGAUGUG